UACGUAGGGAGCAAGCGUUGUUCGGAUUUACUGGGCGUAAAGGGCGCGUAGGCGGCAGAUCAAGUCAGUUGUGAAAUCUCUGAGCUUAACUCAGAACUGUCAACUGAUACUGCUCUGAUAGAGUGCGGAAGGGGCAAUCGGAAUUCUUGGUGUAGCGGUGAAAUGCGUAGAUAUCAAGAGGAACACCUGAGGUGAAGACGGGUUGCUGGGCCGACACUGACGCUGAGUGCGCGAAAGCCAGGGGAGCAAACGGG
rnacentral:rRNA from 1 species